rnacentral:rRNA from 1 species
AGAGUUUGAUCCUGGCUCAGGACGAACGCUGGCGGCGUGCCUAAUACAUGCAAGUAGAACGCUGAAGAGAGGAGCUUGCUCUUCUUGGAUGAGUUGCGAACGGGUGAGUAACGCGUAGGUAACCUGCCUUGUAGCGGGGGAUAACUAUUGGAAACGAUAGCUAAUACCGCAUAACAAUGGAUGACACAUGUCAUUUAUUUGAAAGGGGCAAUUGCUCCACUACAAGAUGGACCUGCGUUGUAUUAGCUAGUAGGUGAGGUAAUGGCUCACCUAGGCGACGAUACAUAGCCGACCUGAGAGGGUGAUCGGCCACACUGGGACUGAGACACGGCCCAGACUCCUACGGGAGGCAGCAGUAGGGAAUCUUCGGCAAUGGGGGCAACCCUGACCGAGCAACGCCGCGUGAGUGAAGAAGGUUUUCGGAUCGUAAAGCUCUGUUGUAAGUCAAGAACGGGUGUGAGAGUGGAAAGUUCACACUGUGACGGUAGCUUACCAGAAAGGGACGGCUAACUACGUGCCAGCAGCCGCGGUAAUACGUAGGUCCCGAGCGUUGUCCGGAUUUAUUGGGCGUAAAGCGAGCGCAGGCGGUUUGAUAAGUCUGAAGUUAAAGGCUGUGGUUCAACCAUAGUUCGCUUUGGAAACUGUCAAACUUGAGUGCAGAAGGGGAGAGUGGAAUUCCAUGUGUAGCGGUGAAAUGCGUAGAUAUAUGGAGGAACACCGGUGGCGAAAGCGGCUCUCUGGUCUGUAACUGACGCUGAGGCUCGAAAGCGUGGGGAGCGAACAGGAUUAGAUACCCUGGUAGUCACGCGUAAACGAUGAGUGCUAGUGUUGAUCCUUUCCGGGAUUCAGUGCGCAGCUAACGCAUUAAGCACUCCGCCUGGGGAGUACGACCGCAAGGUUGAAACUCAAAGGAAUUGACGGGGGCCCGCACAAGCGGUGGAGCAUGUGGUUUAAUUCGAAGCAACGCGAAGAACCUUACCAGGUCUUGACAUCCCGAUGCUAUUUCUAGAGAUAGAAAGUUACUUCGGUACAUCGGUGACAGGUGGUGCAUGGUUGUCGUCAGCUCGUGUCGUGAGAUGUUGGGUUAAGUCCCGCAACGAGCGCAACCCCUAUUGUUAGUUGCCACCAUUCAGUUGGGCACUCUAGCGAGACUGCCGGUAAUAAACCGGAGGAAGGUGGGGAUGACGUCAAAUCAUCAUGCCCCUUAUGACCUGGGCUACACACGUGCUACAAUGGUUGGUACAACGAGUUGCGAGUCGGUGACGGCGAGCUAAUCUCUUAAAGCCAACCUCAGUUCGGAUUGUAGGCUGCAACUCGCCUACAUGAAGUCGGAAUCGCUAGUAAUCGCGGAUCAGCACGCCGCGGUGAAUACGUUCCCGGGCCUUGUACACACCGCCCGUCACACCACGAGAGUUUGUAACACCCGAAGUCGGUGAGGUAACCUUUUGGAGCCAGCCGCCUAAGGUGGGACAGAUGAUUGGGGUGAAGUCGUAACAAGGUAGCCGUA